AGAGAAUAGGGCUGUUGGAGAUCAAGCACUACAUCGUAGAAGGAUAUUCUUACCUUAGCACAAAAGGGUAUUCUUACAAUAUCAAAGAAUUGGAUUCAUGGGUUGAUGAUAGAGAUAGCAAUUGUUGUGUUUGGAAUAGAGUCAAGUGCUUUUCUGGUCAAAUAGUUGAAUUAUCCAUCUAUAGUUUAAUAAAUGAUUUCCCUGAUCCUAUUAUGUUAAAUGUUUCAUUGUUCCGUCCGUUUGAAGAGCUACGCCUCCUCAACUUAUCCUCCAACCAUAUUCAAGGCUGGAUUGGCAACGAAGGUACUACUUUGGUCCCUAUAUAAGAGUUCUUUAACAAAUUUAUACAAAUUAGAAAAGUUGGUUAAUUUUUAUUUAUUGUGUUAAAUUUGUUAAAAUUUUAAUUUGGUCUCUAACAUAGUCUCAGAUACUUAUUUUUUUGUUGUUGUGCAAUCUCAUAUAUUAAUUAAUACUAUGAAAGAGUUUUUAAUUGUACCAUGAUUUUAAUCCACUUGGGAUGGUUUGGUGGUGUUGACUUAAGACUUUGGAGUAUGCUCUUUAGCUUCAUAAAAAAAAUGACAAUUUUAUACAUUCUUUAAUUUUAGGAUCGAACUCUGUAAUUUUUUAGGCCAAUUAAAUGAUUAAGUUUUCUAUUUUGUUGUUCUCUUUCAUUUGUUAAUUUUUCUAUUUCAUGGUUCACUGUUUUUUUUGUUCUCUUUCAUUUUUCAUGACUUUUGUUUCCAUAUUGUAACAAAUUUAAAAAUAAACCAUUGACAUAAACAUUUUUCAUUAAUCAAAAGAUUGUGUAGAAAGUACUGGACGUCAUCUUUCAUAGCUAGCUUCCUCUGUUUCUUUGAAACUAACUUAUUAUGCUUCUUUUUAUGCUUUUUUUGAAGGUUUUCCAGGACUUAAAAAGUUGGAGACACUAGACCUUUCAACCAACUAUCUAAAUAGUAGCAUCUUGUCAAGUUUGAAUGGAUUAAUGGCUCUAACAACUUUGAACCUCGGUUAUAACAUUUUAGAUGAUAACUUCUUCCCUCAAGGUACAAUUUAUUCCUAUAAUUUAUUUAUUUUUCAAUACAAAAGAUGAAUAUGACUGCUUGUUCAAAUCAUGUAUGUUUUAUCGAUCAACAAUGUUACCUUAGUACUUAUUUAUUAGACUUAGUUAACAAAUUUAAAAUUUUGUUAAUUUUGAUUUUUUUAGUUUUAAAUAUGCUAACAUUUUUAUAUUAAUUUUAAAAAUUAUAAAUAAUUGACGAUAUAAAAAUAGAUAUCGGUAUUUAGUAUUUACAAUAACUUGCAUAUGGAUGAAUGAAAUAUAUGAAUUCUUUUUAUCUUUAUAGUUAUCUAGUAUAUCAAUAGGUCUUAUUAAAUUUGGUGGGAUUAGUAUAAAUUUUGACCAAUACAAAAACAAGUGUUGUAAAUAGUACCCUAAAUGUUUUUUUUUGAAGGAAGUACAGUAAACGUUAUGUCACUAGCAUAAUUAAUACAAGAGAGAUAAUUUUAACGAGGCCUUUUAUAAAGGGAGAAAUAUAUAAAUGUUUCCAUAAAUGUAACUUAAUUGGUCAGAACAUUGUAGUAUGUUAGGGUCGGUGUUUGAAUCCUUAUUCUUCAUUUAUUUACUACAUUGCAGUAUCUCUCUUUCUUUUAAUUAACAUAUUUCUUAAUGUUUGUGUGUAAAAAUAUUAAACGAAUUUUUUUUUUUAAGUAAACAAAAAUGGAAUAUAUUACUAUGAACACCGUUAUUGUUGAAGCACAAGACGUGCCAUAACAAUUAUGAAAAGAUCAAAAUUCUGUCAAAAUUACAUCAAAGUCAAUCGAUACCCAUACAUAAAAGCGGGCUCGACCACCAAUUAUGUGUAACCAAAAAUUAAAGACUUGUUGUGAAUUCGUGACAAAAAUCAAACCAAUGAAUAACAAUGAUGUGUGGAGCAAAGGAAGUGGUAAUCAAUGUGUAAAGUGUCUCCAAACAACAACAACAAAAACAGACCUAAAUCUAAGUGUAGAACAACACCACAAACAUAAUCAAAACAAUAGAGAUAAGCAAUGAAAGAAAGGAACAAACACACUGAGAUUGUUGACCUAGUUCGGUCCAAUAUGACCUAAUCUGGGGGAGAGAGCAGCUCUCCAACCCACUAUGAUGAAAGUGUUACAAAAAAUUUACAAGAAAAUAGCUUGCAAGCAUACACAAGAACAAGACCUAAUUUCUACUCAUUUUGUGUCAGCCACUCUCAGAAUAUGAACCCUAAAGAGAAAACACAAAAGGAAGCUUAUGAUCCUUCCAAUGGUGAAAUCUCACUACCUAAGGUGUUUACAAAGUUUCCCAAUCCAAGAGAUCCUCACUACAAAGACACUCAACCCUAAAGUUACCUCCUCUGUAAUCCAAGUUUCUCUUACUUCAAGCUCUCCUUCAAAAUCUGCACAAGAACACUUAUAUAGCAGUCUUCAGUAGAUAAAAAUCGUGUCACGUUUUCCAAAUCGUGACACGAUUGGUGCGCACAACCCAAGGUGCGACCAACCUUAUCCUGAAAACGUACCCAACAAGUUUGAAAAUCGUGUCACAUUUUCACAAAAUCGUGCCACGAUUGGUCACCCCUGCAAACCAGCUCACGACAUUGCAAAAUCGUGUCACGAUUUCUCUGUUCUUCCAAACCACAAAUUUGAAGCCAAUUUUCAACAUUUCUCCACCUUGACUACUAAUUGGUGGUGAUGUUAGUUUACCCAUCAACCACCUUGCUGCUUUCUCCAAAAGGGAAUUACUCUUCAACGAACUUGAUCAAUUUCAAGCAAUGCUUGAACCUUGAUCUAGGCAAUGAUUUGGUAAACACAUCCGUCGGAUUCUCUUUCGAUGCCACCUUUACCACCACGAUAUCUUUUGAUUUAACCAUGUCUCUGACAAAGUGCAAGCGAAUGUCAAUGUGCUUUGUCCUCUCAUGAUACACUUGAUCCGAUAGAGAUUUUCUUGUGUCCACAUUACCCGCAUAGUCCGCAUCAACAUACCCCCUCCAAAGCGUCUUCCUCUUGUGUACUUCAAACCGCCCUUCAAAGACCCAUUCAAAUACCUCAACACCCACUUCAAAGCUUGCCAAUGCACAAUACCCAGAUUUGCCAUAAACCGACUUACAAUGCUAACCGCAUAAGCUAAGUCUGGUCUACUACAAAACUUUCCAUACAUGAUGCUUCCAGCCCCACUUGCACAGGGAGUACCUUCCAUCAAUUGUUUCUCAUCCUCGCAUUGAGGACAUUGUUUUAUGGACAACUUUGUGUGGUGGCCCAAGGGAGUGCUCACGGUUUUAGAGUUAGACAUUCUAAACCGCUCCACCACCUUCUUCAAAUAACUAAGUUGAGAUAAGAAAAGUUCGCCUUUGUCACGAUUCCUCAAGAUAUCAAUUCCAAGAACUCUCUUUCCCGGACAAAGAUCUUUCAUCUCAAAUUCACCAUUUAACUUUUCUUUGAGCUUCUUAAUCUCAUCCUUCCUAGAGCUUGCCAUCAAGAUAUCAUCCACAUAUAAAAGAAGGUAGAGAAUGACUUUCUCACCCUUCUUCAACAUGUACACACAAGAAUCUUAUCCGCUUCUCACAAAACCGGGCUUCAAAAGAAAUUCAUCAAACUGAUGAUACCAUUGCCCAGGGAUUUGCUUCAACCCAUACAAAGAUUUCUUUAAAAGACAUACCUUAGACUUGUCUUUCACAAAACCUUCCGGUUGCUCCAUGUAUUGUCUCUUCAAGGUCACCAUGUAAGAAAGCAGUCUUCACAUCCAUUUGUUCAAACUCAAGAUUGAAUUGAUUCACAAUAACCAUAAGUAUCGUUAUGGAACAAUGUUUCACCACCGGUGAGAAGAUCUCAUUGUAGUCAAUCCCCUCCACUUGAGUGAAACCCUUGGCCAUAAGUAUUGCUUUGUACCUUGGACCUUCAACACCCGGAAUACCUUUCUUUUUCUUGAAGAUCCACUUGCAUCCAACUACCCUUUGGUGUUUAGGUAGCUUCACAAGUUUCCAAGUUCGGUUCUUUUCCAAUGAAUCCAUCUCUUCAUUCACCGCAUUUAACCAAUACUUACCCUCUUUGCUAUCAAAUGCCUCUUUGAAGUUUCUAGGCUCCGAGUCUUGCACAUCUUCAGCCGCAUUUAGAGCAAAACAAACCAAGUCCGCAUAACCAUAUCUACUAGGAGCCGUAAUGGUCCUCCUUUCUCUAUCUCUAGCCAAGAGAGAAUCAGGAUCCACUACCGGUUGAGUUCCACUUGUAUCUGAUGUCGAAGCUUCAUCUUCUACAUCAUCUUCUUCUUCACUUGGAAGCUCCACCUCAAACUGAGUUUCCUCCACCAUUGUUUCCGGUACCAAAGUCUCUAGGUCUUUACACUUCAUCCCUAUACGGGUCUCAUCAAAGGUAAUAUCCCUACUAAUCAAGACUUUUGAUCCUCCACUAGAUUCCAAUUUCCACAACUUGUAACCCUUCACACCUUCUGGAUAACGAAUAAAGACACAUUUCAAAGCUCUAGUCUCAAGCUUGUCUUUCUUGAUAUGCGCAUAUGCCAAAGCUCCGAAAACCUUCAAAGAUGAGUAGUCUGCCGGUUUCCCAUUCCAUACUUCCAUAGGUGUCUUGAAGUCUAUUGUCGUUGAUGGACAUCUAUUGAUCAAAUAAGCAGUAGUUGUCACUAGUUCACCCCAGAAACUCUUAGGAAGCCCAACUCCUAGAAUCAUACACCUCACACGCUCCAAAAGGGUCAUAUUCAUGCAUUCAGCAAGACCAUUUUGUUGCGGUGUUCUCGGUACGGUCAUAUGCCUCUUGAUUCCUUUUAACGUGCAAAACUCAUUAAAUUGCUCUGAAAUAAACUCCAAGCCAUUGUCAGUUCUUAACCCUUUUAGAUUAGUUCCCAUUUGAUUUUCUAUAAGAGUGUGCCAUUCCUUAAACUUCUCAAAUGUGUCACUUUUGUUUUUCAAAACAAAGACCCAAACUCUUCUAGAAUAAUCAUCAAUGAUGGAAAGAAAAUAGGAACAUCCCUCAUGAGUAAGAGUCUUGGAAGGACCCCAAAGGUCCGAAUGAACAUACUCAAAAGGCCUACUAGAAUGAUGCAUACCACUACCAAACUUUACUCUAUGUUGCUUGCCUAGUAUGCAAUGCUCACAAAAUUCUAACUUGUCCAAUUUAUCUUUUUUUAGCAAAUCUUGUUUAGCUAGUUCAACUAAACCUCUUUCACUAACAUGCCCCAAUCUCAAAUGCCACAAUUCAGAAUUAUUGAGAUACAACACUAGCCACCGAUGCAUUACCAAUUACUAUGGAACCAUCUAAAAUGUAUAAACCAUUCAUUUUAGACCCUAACCGUAAUCAAUGCAUCAUGCUCAAUUUUACAAACCCCAUGCUCAAUUCUAGUGCAAUAACCUAGACUAUCAAACAUGCUUAGGGAAAUUAAAUUUUGCUUAAGUGCGGGAACCAACCUCACAUCCCUUAAAAGGAUUUCACGGCCAUCAAACAUCUUUAUACGAACGUUGCUCGUGCCUUGGACUUUGCACACUUUGUUAUUUCCGAGUCGAACAACUCCUCCUUAAUUUAGAGCCAAAUCAAAAUAUUCCUUCCUAGGACACAUGCGAUAAGAGCAUCCUGAGUCCAAAAACCGACUCUUCUCCAGUUCCCAACUUGUGACCACUAGUGCACCCGCACUCUCAUAACCAUCUUCAUUUGAUGCCUCCGCAACUUGAACGGACGGACUACCAUCACCCCCUUUAUCCGGACAAUCCUUCUUGAAGUGACCUUGCUUAUGACAAAGAAAACACUUAUACUUUUAUUUGUCAAAGCCUUUGGACCUAGACCUGGACCUCGACUUCCCCUUGCCUUUUCCUCUAUGCUCAUUCCUUCCUCUUGCAACAUUCAAGCCUUCACCACCUUCAUCAACCUUCAAGUCCUUGAACUUGGUCAAUUGUUUGGUUCUCAAAGCCGCUUGGACUUCCUCCAAAGUAGUAGUGCCCUCCUUACCAUAAAGGAUGGUAUCCUUGAAAUGCUCAAAAGACUUUGGUAAUGAACAAAGUAACAACAAAGCCUUAUCCUCAUCUUCCAUAUUAACUUCAAUGUUGGCCAAAUCAUCAAAAAAUUUGUUAAAUUCCGCCAAUGUUGGCCGAAGUUUUUUUUUUUUUUAAGAAACAAAAAUGGAAUAUAUUACUAUGAACACCGUUAUUGUUGAAGCACAAGACGUGCCAUAACAAUCAAGAAAAGAACAAAACCCUGCCAAAAUUACAUCAGAGUCAAUCGAUACCCAUACAUAAAAGCGGACUCAACCACCAAUUAUGUGUACCAAAAUUAAAGACUUGUUGUGAAUUUAUGACAAAAAUCACACCAAUGAAUAACAAUGAUGUGUGGAGCAAAGGAAGUGGUAAUCAAUGUGUAAAGUGUCUCCAAGAAACAACAACAAUAACAGACCUAAAUCUAAGUGUAGAGCAACACCACAAACAUAAUCAAAACAAUAGAGAUAAGCAAUGAAAGAAAGGAACAAACACACCGAGAUUGUUGACCCAGUUCGGUCCAAUAUGACCUAAUUUGGGGGAGGGAGCAGCUCUCCAGUCCAUUAUGAUGAAAGUGUUACAAAAUAGUUACAAGAAAAUAGCUUGCAAGCUUACACAAGAACAAGGCCUAAUUUCUACCCAUUUUGUGUCACCCAUUCUCACAAUAUGAACCCUAAAGAGAAAACACAAAAGGAAGCUUAUGAUCCUUCCAAUGGUGAAAUCUCAUUAUCCAAUGUGUUUACAAUGUUUCCCAACUCAAGAGAUCCUUACUACAAAGACACUAAACCCUAAAGUUACCUCCUGUGUAAUCCAAGUUUCUCUCAUUUCAAGCUCUCCUUCAAAAUCUGCACAAGAACACUUAUAUAGCAGUCUUAAACUGAUAAGAUCGUGUCACGUUUUGCAAAUCGUGACACGAUUGGUGCGUACGACCCAAGGUACGACCAACCUUAUCCUGAAAACGUAUCCAGUAAGUUUGAAAAUCGUGUCAAGUUUUCACAAAAUCGUGCCACGAUUGGUCACCCUGCAAACUAGCUCACGACAUUGCAAAAUCGUGUCACGGUGAUAAAAUCGUGUCACGAUUUCUCUAUUCUUCCAAACCACAAAUUUGAAGCCAAUUUUCAACAAGACUACAUUACUAGCUUUCAACCACCACAAGGUAUGUGAUUUUACUUUAUCUAACAAUAACUGUAUAGAACUUUGACGGUUCCGAAAUAACAUGUCACUCCGUUCAUUCCAUAAAACCUAAACACAUUGAAGCCAAAUCAAAUGAAAUAAAGAUCGACGGGAUUUCAAGCCACCUGCAUAUUCAAUAAAUUGCACAGAAUAAUUUGAGAUAGCCCUUCGACAUCAAGCCAUGCCCGCACCAUAGGAUUAUUUUAAAAUGAAUGAGUAUAAGUUUAUCCUUCAAAAGAGAGAGUUUAUUUAAGUUCCCAUGAUGAUAUCUUUGGGUGCCAACUGGAGUCAAAGAUCUUAAUUACGCAGCGUUAAUCAAAAAGAAAGAGGUAGUACUUUAGUGGUAAAUUGAUAAAGAAAUAUUAUUUAAUGCACUUGAAAAUCCAAAGAUGGUCUUAUAAAGAAAAUGACAAGAAUUUUUUUUCCAAAUGGGAUGUAUAUUUUUUACAUAAUUUAAAUACUUGAUAAUCAUUGUUUUCUCUGAUAUCUAAUAUUUUAGAAAUCAUCUCCAUCAUAUCGAAAUUUACACUAGUGUUUCAAAUUGUAGACCACAUUGCUUACAAUAUUACAGUUGUUACAGUGUAAUGUAAUCAACCACAACAUACUAAAACCAGUAUUCAAACUUGGUAACAAAGUGGGUACAAAAACCACAUUAGACUGCAACAAACUAUAUAGUGAUCAGGCAAAUCAUUUUGAUAUCUUCCUUUCUUUAUGUAAAAGGGUUAGAGAUAUUUUAGGGUUCUAUAGAGAGAAUAUGUGUAAAUUAAAACCAUAAUUUCUAUCACGUUGUUAUUUAUUUUUGACAAGUUCAUCACAUGUCAUUACCCAUAAUACCAAGGGAAUCUCUUUUUAUAUAUUAUUCUUCAUAGGCCAUAAAUGUCUGAAGGUGCAUAGACAUUAAAAUGGAAAAAAAGUUAAUAUUGAAACUUUUUGUCGGUUUAACUAUAUAUAACUGUAAUCAUACUUGACUAUGAUUCAAUAUUGAAGGCAAUUACACGUGUUUGUACAAGUGUUUAAUUGCAUGCAUGAUAAGUUUAGCAUUUUUGUCAACUUUAAGUCAUUCCAUGUGCUUAAUUAAAAAAUUAUUAAUACAAGAGAGAUAAUUUUUUUUUUAAGAUACAAGAGAGAUAAUUUUAACGAGGCCUUUUAUAAAAGGAGAAAUAUAUAAAUGUUUCCAUAAAUGUAACUUAAUUAGUCCGAACAUUGCAGUAUGUUAGAGUUGGUGUUUGAAUCCCUAUUCUUCAUUUAUUUAUUAUACGAGGUGAAUUUAAUAAAUUACUUGAUAAAAAAAAAUUGUUAAUAUGUCACACGCACUUAGUCAUUUAAUUUUUUUUUUUUUUGACAAAUAGUCAUUAAAAUUCAUGGAACCCACGUUCAUGAAUUUUUUUUUAAAGAGGUUCACCAGUUGAUUUGGAGAAUUUGAAGAUAUAAGUCUCAUAUAAUAAUAUUAUGUAGGCGUUAGACUUAUUUUUUUUUUUUUUUAAGCAAAGGGAAUGCAACCAGGGAGGAAGCAACCCUAAAUAUAUUCAAAACAGAGAAAUAAGAAACCAAAAAACAAGAGGAAUGAGGGGGGACAAAAAACCAAAACCCUCAAAAGAGCUUAGCAAAACCUAAAAUUAGGAAAACCUGUCUUAUUCUUUACAAAUUCAACAUUAACCUGAGAAGGUACAUUGUUGAACCAAGAAUAAGAAGGCAAGGUUAAACCUAAGUUAGCAAGCUGAUCUGCACAACUAUUACCUUCUCUAUAUAUGUGAGAAACAUUAAAAUUAAACAUAGAUAAAAUGAAUAGACAAUUGUCCCACCUAUUUCUUAGAGACCAAGGCACUAUUUUAGAAGACUUGAACGCCAAUAAAACUAGCAUGGAAUCCGUUUCCAACCAUAGGUUGUGCCAGUUCUUAACAUGAGCAAUUUCAAUUGCUACCAUAGCUGCUAUAAGUUCAGAGUGAAGAGCAGUAGAGACUCCCAAGUUAACGGAGAAAGCUCCUAGAAAAUCUGCAUCUGAGUUUCUAAAAAUUCCUCCACAAGCUGCCAAGCCCGGAUUACCCUGCGCUGCCCCGUCAGUGUUACACUUAACCCAAUUAAAAAUUGGAGGAGACCACAUGACUUCUUUGAUGAUAUGAGAUUUUGGAGGAUUGAUUUUUACAUCAAAUUUUUUGAGAAUAACAAAUUCAGAGAUAGAAGAACUAGCUGCUAGCGUGGAGCUGUUACCUGAGAGGUGAGUUCCUGCAAUAAUAAGAUUGAUAGCUGAGGCAACCUGGAUUGUCUUAUCAUUAAACCUACUUUGGUUUCUGCAGUGCCAGAUUAUGUUGAAGCAAUAGAUGAUGGCAGCCAGAAUGACAAGUUUACAAUGUGGGGACCAAUUUCUUUCUGAGAUUCUAAUGAUGUCCAUGAAGGAUGUUAAGUUACAAUUUAAGUUGAGCAAGGAACCGAGCCAGUGCCAAACAUCAGAUGCGAAAGGGCAUUCAAUGAACAAGUGAAUAGAAGUUUCCUGUGCAGCACCACAAAGAUUACAAAUGGAAGGUAACAUACAUCCUCUUUUAGAGAGAUUGUCAUCGGUUGGCAAUUUGUCAUGUAAUAAUCUCCACACUAAGAAAGAUUUGGAAGGGGGAAUAGCAGCAUGCCAAAUCAUUUUGGUCCAGCUAAGAGUUUGAGGAUGAUUAGAAGCAUGAAAAGUGUAAGCAGCUUUGAAAGAUAGGGACCCAUCAUGUGAAUUUUUCCAAAUGAGUUUGUCAUCUUUUGGAAUCAAAGGAAUGAUAGUUGAAGAAAGUUUCUGUUUAAGGAUGGGGUAAGCAGAUAUGAAAGCUUGAGGCACAUUCCAUUUGGAGUCCAUGAUAUAAGUGUCAAGGUGAGAUUGGAGAAGAUGGUGGAGGUGUUGAGGGAUGUUAAGGGCAGUGAUUAAAGGAUCUCCACACCAAGGGUCCGUCCAAAACUUGAUAGUUUGACCAUUACCUAUUUUCCACAAAACAUUGUCCAUAAGAGUGUUAAAUUUGUGCUUGGCACCACUCCAAAUUGAAGAUGAGAUAUGAUGGUUGAUGGGUUUGUUGUUUCUUAAAAACCCUGCUUCUGAUAAGUUGAGUCCAUUGUAGCUCGGAUUGAAGAAUGUCCCAGCAAUUUUUGAGGUUUCCUGCUUCAUUAAUGUAACUUAGCUUUCUCAAACCUAGACCUCCCUCCUUGAGUGGUGUACAAACUUUAUGCCAGGCAACUGUUACUAACUUUCUUUGAUUUACAUCACCAAACCAUAUGAAGUUUCUCAUCCAUUUUUCCAUAUCCUUUAAAAGUUUAACUGGCCAAGAAUAGAUGGAAAGACUGUGAAGAAGCAUACUUUGAAUUACACUCUUUACUAAUUGCACUCUACCAAUAAUGGAUAGAAGAGAUGCUUUCCAAGCUGAGAGCUUGCUUUUAACUUUAUCAGCAAGAGGUUGAAAAUAAGCAUACUUUGCCCUGCCUUUGAAAAUUGGAACACCUAAAUAGGUAAAUGGAAGAAUUCCAACUUGAAAACCUAUUUGAUUAGCAAUUUGAUUCAAUCUUGAAGCAGAAAUAGAACCUGCAUACAUAAAGGAUUUUUGAGGAUUGACCAUUUGCCCAGAAGCUUCAGCAUAAUCCAUAAAGGCUUUCUUGAGAACCUUGAUGUUUGAAUUUGUUCCUUUACAAAAUAUCAUCAUAUCAUCAGCAUAAAGAAUGUGUGAAGGAAUUUGAAUAUCUCUGGUACCAUUGAUAAGCUUGAGCUUUCCCUCCCUAACCAACUUGGUUAAUCUCCUGCUUAUAACUUCUUCUGCAAGGCAAAAGAGAAGAGGUGAUAGAGGAUCACCCUGUCUCACCCCUCUAGAACAACUAAAGUAUCCAUGAAGCUUACCAUUGAUUGAAACUGAUAGUCUAGCAGAUGAGAGAAUGGAAUGGAUCCAGUUGCAAAAUUUACUACAAAACCCAAAACUUUUUAGAACUUUGAGCAAGAAAUGCCAGUCAAGAGUGUCAAAAGCUUUAGCAAUAUCUAUCUUCAUGGCCAAGUUUCCUCCAAAAGACUUUUUGUUCAGAACAUUGAUCGCUUCAGAGGUUAGGCAAAUGCAGUCCUUGAUGCUCCUUCCUUUGAUGAACCCUCUUUGUUGUGUAGAGAUGAUAGCAGGCAUGAUUUUGGAGAGCCUAUCUGCCAGAAUCUUGGAAAUGAGUUUGAAUUUGAAGUUUGCAAUGGCUAUUGGCCUAUAAUCAGUCACCUUCUCUGCAUGGUUAGUUUUUGGAAUAAGAACAAUAUUAUUUGAAUUGAAAUUUGGGAGAAUCCAUCCAUUUUUAAAAAAAUCCAGAACCACAUUUAAAACAUCAGUUUUGAUGAUUUCCCAAAAAGUUUGAUAGAAUAGAGCUCCAAAUCCAUCAGGACCUGGGGCACUAUCCUUGUUCAAAGAAAAAACAGCACUAUGGACUUCUUCCUGAGAAGGAAUCAUAGUGAGAAUGUUGUUUAUCCUGUCAGUGAUAAGAGAUGGAAUUACAUCUUCAAUCAUUCCAUUGUCAGUGGUAUUUGAUGUUUGAUUGAAUAAAUUUGAGAAAUGAGUGACAAAAUGAUCUGAGAUAUCUGAGGGAUUAGUUAAGAGUUCAUCACCGUUGUGUAUGGAUGAGAUAAGGUUAGAGGCGUUUCUGAUUUUGGUUAUUCUAUGAAAAUAGGCUGUGUUUCGGUCCCCUUGAGCAUGCCACUGAAUUUUGGAUUUUUGUUGCCAGUAGGUUUCUUCAAUGUUUAAAGCAUGUUCCAAUUCAAUCUGUGCAGCUUUUUCUUGAUCAAGAAGAUCAUCAGUAACCCCUAGAAUGUCUAGUUGAUCUUGAAUAAAAUCAACUUUUUGAGUAGCAUUUUUGACAUUAGCAUGCACAUCCCCAAAGGUAUUUUUGUUCCAAGAUUUUAGGGCUGUUUUGAGAUGUUUGAGUUUUUGGUUAAGUAUAAACAUGGGGCAACCUACUACAGGGGUAUUCCAACUAUUCCUAACAAGGUCUAUACAAUCAGGGUGGGAGAGCCAUAUUUUGAGAAAUUUAAAUUGGGAAGUAAAAGAGCAGUCAUCAUUUUUAAAUUCUAAAAGGAUUGGAAAGUGGUCUGACCUAAUUUUGGUUAAGGUGGAAGCAAGAACCAGGUUACAAGAAGCAUACCAUUCUUGGUUACAAAUUGCUCUAUCAAGCCUUCUUUGUAUGUUGAAUCUCCCUCUUCUUCCAUUGGUCCAUGUAAAGUCUGCACCUCUUGUGUGAAUGUGAAUGAGAUUAUUAGAGUCUGACCAUUCUUGAAAAUCUUUCAUGGCACUAUCAGGAACUCUAUAUCUGCUUCUUUGUUCAUGGGCCCCCAAAAUUGUAUUGAAGUCUCCUAAACAGCACCAUGGAGUAUGGAUAGAGUUUUGAACUGAUUGCAGCUUCUCCCAAAGCUCUUUCCUUUUCAACUGACAAUUUGAAGCAUAAACUCCAGAUAACGUAAAACACAUGGCAUUUAGGGUGAUUUGAAUAGUAAUAUGUUGAUCAUCCAUAUUAAUAAGUGUAGGGGUUAAGGUUUUAGAGCAAAAGCACCACAGAUUUGGUGUCAAAUUUCCUCUAUCAUUAACACAGAAAACUUUCAUUCCCAAUCUAUCCAACCAAAGCUUAGAAAAAUUGUCAAUAUGCAUCCAGGGCUCAGCAAUAAAGCAUAAAUCAGGCCUAUGCAAAAUUAAAAGUUUUUUAAGUGCUAACUUAGUUGGGGAGUUAGCUAAUCCCCUCAAAUUCCAGAAGAGGCACUUCAUUGGGAAGGUUUGGAGGUUCCAACCUUUGAUCUGGUAAUGUAACUGCUCUUGAGAGCUUUUUGCGCCUUCUUAGUGCCUUUUGAAAUGACCUGCUGAAAACCAUCAUCAUCCACAUCUGUAUUUAUCAAUAGCUGCAUGUUCUUUGGAGAUGUAACUUGAUGAUUCACGAUUUCUAACACUGGAUUAUUCACUUGCAAUUCAGUAUGAUUAGACUAUUUUCUUCUUAAAUUAACAAUAACUAAAAUUAAUCUGUGAAAUGAAUUUUUUUUUAAGUCACGUUUGUUUUUUAUUGACCAAUUCGGUCUUUAAGAUAGUUUCAGAUAUUGAUUGAUACUAGGAAGUAUUUUUAAUUUUAUAAUGAUUUCAUAAAUUCUUUAAUUUUAGGAUCGACUUAUGUAAUUUUUUAGACAAAUUGAGUGGUUUGUUUUUCUAUUUCACAUGGCUCACUGUAUUUUCCCUUCAUUUUUCGCGACUUUUAUUUCUCUUUUGCAACAAGUGUUGAAAUAAAUUGUUAACAAGAAACUGUUUUCAUUAAUCAUGUUUCUUUUGAAGGGUUUCCUAGACUUAAAAGAUUGGAGACAUUAGAUCUUUCAGGGAACGAUCUAAAUAGUUGCAUUUUGCCAAGUUUAAAUGGAUUGACUGCUCUAACAACUUUGAACCUCGGUGAUAAUGACAUGGAAAACUUCUCUUCUCAAGGUACGUUUUGUUUCAAUAAUUUAUUUAUGGAGUUUAUGUGAUGAAGUGAAUGAAUUAGAAGACAAUUAUAAGAUCCCAAAAAAAUAUUAAUUAUUAACGAUAAUAAGAGACUUUAAAUAAAAUGAAAAACUGGUUAUAAAUCAUUGGUAGGAAUUGAAAUUAAUUAACAAAAGCUUUUCAUUAUGUAUAUUGUUGAAGGAUUUUUGAGAUCAAAGGAGUUGGAGGUCUUAGACCUUUCCUAUAAUGGGCUGAACUGCAAUAUCAUAACAAGUUUGCAUGGAUUCACAUCAUUAAGGAGUUUGAUUCUGAGAUACAACAACUUCAAUUGUUCUCUCUCCACUUUAGGUACACAUCUUCAAUUCUUAUAUUAUGAUGAAUGUUUUUAUUUUCAUUUUUAAAAAGAACUAUAUUAUGUCCUUUCAACAGAUUUUGCUAAAUUUAAUCGGCUAGAACUAUUGGACUUGGAUGGUAAUCAAUUGAUUGGUUCACUACAUGUUGAAGGUACUUUUACUAUUAUUUUUAUUUCAACUACUAUUUAUGGUUACAAAGAAACAAAAUUUAUUACCACUAUUUAUGGAAAAACAUUUUAUAGGAAAAUUUAUUCUGUUUGAGAAAUUCAGAAUAGGGUUAUGCUCCCUAAUUUUUGAGAAUAGGGUUAUGCUCCCUAAUUUUGCUUUCUUGAACUUCAAUUUCACCUUCCUCGUGGUUUUCCCCUUUCUCACUACUACAGAAAUGACAUUUCACAUCAGUGGAAAUCGACAUUUCACAUCGGGUCCCAACCGAUGUAACUAAAGGUGAGGUUGUAUGUCCGUAACAUUUCACAUCGGGUAUGGGACCGAUGUGAAAAUCCAUUUUCCACAUCGGUCUUUGAUUCAACUGAAGGGAAACCGCUUUUUUUACAAAUCUGAAAAUGUAUUUCACAACGGCAGAUUUGACAUCCCCGAAGUGAAAUGUACAUAUUCCACAUCUGCUUUAAUUGAACCCGAUGUGAAAUCCGUUUUUAUUUAAAAAAUUAAAAAAUUUUAUUCAUUGACUUCAUUUUCCUGAUGCGACAAAAUUCAUAUAACAAAAUAACUUAAAAAAUUCAAUGAAAAACAAGAAAAUUGUCUUAUAUACACUCUCACAAAUGCAAACUCCUAAAGAGUUUUUGUUCAAUAAAAAAAAUCCUAAUGAGUUCAUAUCACAAAUGUCGGCAAAUAUCAUAAUUUUGAAAUUCAAGUAUUCUAUUUCUAUAGUUCCAAUCUCUACAAUAGAAUAAGCAGGCACAACCUAAUUUCCAUUAACAUGUUGGGAAACCAAAGAGGAACUAUUUUUCCUCUUUUGACAUUCUUUAAUAUCUUAAUUAACACCGUUAACACGAAGCUUGGUCAAACACACCUUAUCAGAGCCCUCACUCUUCCUCUCAAUUGCAGGAAUAAUAUUGAGAUCCUUAAGUGCCGUCACUGACAUCCCUGUCAACUAUCAUCUGAAAUAAAACAGGAAGACAACUAAUCAAACUCAACACUAAGGGCUACUAAAACCACCAUUUAUAUAACUUCUAAAAAACAAGUACAACGACAACAAAAAGUUAUAUAAAAACAUAAAACAAAACUUUUAAGUCAAGAUCUGCAGUCAACAACAAAGACCAUGUCUCUCCAAAUUACGAUUGCAAGACAUUGUUCUUAUUUACCGGUUCUAAUUUGAGUUAUCACAAACAUAGGCACGCACAUUCAAAUUAAAAUUGAGCCUCCAAUUCAAAGACAACAAUCUUAAGUCAAACACAAAUAUAUAUUGAAGUUCUAAUAAAAUCGAUAAUUGAAAAAGUCAGUUCCAAUCUUAGAAUUGAACUUCCGCUUCAAAGCAUUAUUACACAUGAUCAACAUAUUUUCAAACUAAAAAAAAAAUCAAAGUGAUUCAAUCACAAACUAAAGAGUCUAGUUAUUAACAAAGUGAUUCUGACUUUAGAUCUUUUAUAAAUAAUAGUAUUAAUAUUUUAUUUAAUUAUUAUAAAUUAAAUUAAUAUGUGUGUAGCAGUGUCGAUGUGUUUGUAUCGAUGGCAACUUCUUUAAUUGUGCAGUGGCAGCAUCAACAAGGCCUUGCUCACUUCCACCUACAAAAUAAAAUGCAUUCUAAAUCCCUUUCAUUCACACAACAAAAAUUAACUGAUAUAUAUAUAUAUAUAUAUGUAUAUGUAUAUGUAUAUAUAUAUAUAUAUGGGUUUGCUAGAACACACCCAUUUAGUUUUUAUGUGAAAGUGUUUUAGCAAAGCUACACCUUAAGGUGUAUUUAACCACUUUUUAGUUAUUCACUUACUAAAAUACUCCUUCUAAAAAAUAAGUGGGUGUAUUCUAGCAAAGGCCUAUAGGAUUUGCUAGAACACACCCAUUUGUUUUUUUAGAAGGUGUGUUAUAGCAACAUACACCUUAAGGUGUAUUUAUUAAUUUUUUAGUUAUAACUUGCUAAAACACUCCCACAUAAAAACUAGUGGAUGUGUUCUAGCAAAUCCCAUAUAUAUAUAUAUAUAUAUAAUUUACAUUUGCUACAACUUUCCUAUGUUAAUUAAUAUACACCUUUGUGUGUGUUAGUAUCUGAAUGUAAAUUAUAAUUAACUGAUAAUAUCGUAUACUACAAGAUGCUUUUCAAAUAUUACACUAUGCAGUAUCAUAUAUUAUCAAAAUUGCAAAGAAAUAUGAGCAUUAAUGAAAAUUCAAAUUUACAGACAAAGUUAGUACUCUUAUCUCUAUGUAGAAAUAGUGUGGCCAAUCAGCCAAACAGAGAACUAUAAGGUAUAGAAUCUUGAGAUGGCAGCCGUAAAGGAAAACACACCAGAAAGUUAACCACUAAUAUUGGCUGGAAGCAUGCAUAGCAGCUAUAGGUUGAAAGAUAAAUAACUAAAUAAAUAAAAAGGCAGAAAUAAAUAUCAUAUAUACCUAGAGCGGUGGACCAUAGACCAGCAAGUGGGUCAAGAUAUUUCUUCUCAUUUAUGUCAUAUACAUAACUUCCCUGGAUUCGUUAAUCACGUAAAUUACUUAUAUCAAAAAACAAAUUAAAUCCGGUAAGUUAUACACGCAAAAACUGGUUAUCUUGUGAAUAAAAACAAAAUGAAAAUAUAAUUACUAACAUAUUUUAUAAUGAAGUAAUUCAAUAAAAAUCAAAGAAACGUAGCAUGGGAGUAUACCUCAGACUUUUCAAUAAUCAAAGGAUUCAACUCAUUAGUCUGCCACCCAGCAGUGAAAGGGGCAAGCAUAUCAUGGCUCUUGAACCUGAAAUAGUCAAAUAUUUCUGCAGAUUUACACAUGGUAAUCAUAUCAAGCUUAAACUUAGAUUAAUUUUAAAUUCUUUUCUGUUUAAAAAACAAAUAAACUUCAUGCAUGGGCCCUCCCCCAGAAUUGUUUUUCCUUGACCUAUGGUUACUUAAAGCUGUUACAAAACUCAAUAGGAAUCUAAAGAGAAGAGAAAGGAAUCAGAUUAUGUAUCCAACUACAUUCGUGAAUGAAUCUGAAUUACAAACACAUGUUUAAAGAGGUGAUUGUCCCGAUCAUUCAAUUCCCCCAUUAGAUAGUAAAAGGGUUUUUACACCUCUGCCAUAAUACAAUUAGUUUGUUGAAAAUCUCAACAUAAAAGGUGCCAAAUUAGAUAAGUACAAAAUAGUGCUAUGUUUAGUUCUUAAAAGCAUACACACAAAAGUGGUAAACAGUUAGCACAGAAGAACCAUAUACCCUUAGCCAGUUUUCGCAUCAGAAGUUGAACUAUCCUUUGCCAAAGAAGAUUGUGAACUACUUGUCCUCGACCAUAAAGGAGCCUGAAGUAGAGUUUCCUGAAAACUUCUGGAAACUGCUGCAGAUGCUAAAGCUGAAGCAGACUGUAAAUAAGAAAAACAUAACCAUAGUAAGACAAAAAAAAACUAGUGACAGAUAGGGUUGCUUAACAUAUUCAAAUUGCUUCUUUUUUUAGCAUUCGCAGAUGCUCAAUUUCUUGUAUUUAUGGAGAAUGAUACCACCGCAAAAAAGCCUAACAUUUAGUGUCGAACACCAUCUUUAAAAAAGCCUAACAGUAGAUUCAUAUAGUGUGGUUAACUAAAGUUUGAAUCCCGGCUAAAAGCCUAACAUUUAGUGUUGAACACCAUCUUUAAAAAAGCAAAGACCAGCCUCAUCUCUGUGACGAUGCGCCCAUUUCAUUAUUUUUUCCCAAACCACUCAUCCAUUUUCCAUUAUUUUCCCAAACUACCAUCUCUACUUUGCCUCUCUUACCUUAUAUACCCAAACCAACCUAUCAGUGACCUCAUUCUCACAAACCACUACAUGUCCCACCCACUCUUAAUCUAUCAAUGAAAUGAACUACCAUCACUUCAUCUAAUGCGUACAAUUCUCCAUUCUACAUUUAGAAUUCUCCUAACAUAACACAAAGACUUAGUCUCUUUCUUUGAAAAAAUGUGUUUUGCACAAACCUGUAUUCUCAUCCAAAGAUGGUUAUCGAUUUUGUCUAGUCAUUUUCUCUUUGACGCGAUAGGUUGCCAACUUCAAUGAGUAAAUGCCAUCUUUAUCAUAUUCCCAUACCAAUUUGUCAUCUAGGAUUCUCCAAGAAUUUGAGACUUCAUCUUCUUGUUUUGUCAUAUGCACUCAAAAAAAACUUGAAAUUUUUUAAAUAGUCAAACAUAAUUUGUAAAUUUUUUUUGGGGAAUAGUUCUUACAGAUUUAUUUAUUGAAAUUAUAUCUCUAACUAUGUACUCUCUUUUUUUUUCUGCAGAUGUUCAACAUUUGAAAAACUUGAAAAUGUUAACUUUAAGCUAUAAUCAAAUGAACGGCUCAAUUGAAGGUAUGAAUACUACCAAACACAAAUAAUUAAUUCAUAACUGCUUCACGGGAUGGAUUGUUACAAUGAAGAUAACUUUUUUAUUGAUUUUAAAUUUUAAAUAAUUAACAAAAACAAUGAAAUAAGUUAAUUAAUGUAUAUAUUGACGCCAUUGGAAAAACUUUAAGAUUUUUAUGAUAAUGUCAAUUUUUGUAAAGAUGACAGGACAUAGUUAAUUAAUUAUGACAGGACUAUGCAAUUUGAAGGAUUUGGUAGAACUGGAUAUCAGCCAGAACAUGUUUAGUGCUAAAUUUCCUGAGUGUUUAAGCAACUUAACAAACCUCAGAGUUCUUGAACUUAGUAAUAAUCUGUUCAGUGGAAAGUUUCCAUCUUUCAUUAGCAAUCUCACAUCACUGGCAUACUUAUCCUUCUAUGGAAAUUACAUGCAAGGAUCAUUUUCAUUGAGCACUUUGGCUAAUCAUUCCAAUCUUGAGGUUCUAUAUAUUUCAUCAAAAAACAAUAUUGGAGUAGACAUUGAAACUGAAAAAACAAAGUGGUUUCCUAAAUUUCAAUUGAAGUCACUCAUUCUUAGAAAUUGCAACCUAAACAAGGACAAAGGAAGUGUCAUUCCUACUUUUCUUUCUUAUCAAUACAAUUUGAUGUUGGUGGACCUUUCCGGAAACAAAAUAGUUGGCUCAUCCCCAAGUUGGUUGAUACAUAAUCAUAACAUUAAUUAUUUGGAUAUAUCAAACAACAAUUUAAGUGGGUUGCUAACAAAAGAUUUUGAUUUAUUCCUUCCAAGUGCUACACAGUUGAACUUUUCAUGGAAUAGCUUUGAAGGAAAUAUACCUUCAUCAAUUGGUAAGAUAAAAAAACUUUUGCUCUUGGACCUCUCUCAUAAUCAUUUCUCGGGUGAGUUACCAAAACAACUGGCCACAGAUUCUGAUAGUUUACUAUACUUGUCCGUCUCCGACAACUUUCUAAGUGGUAAUAUUCCCAAAUUUUGUAAUUUAGGGAUGAAAAAUUUAUUUCUUAAUAAUAACAACUUUAGUGGAACACUUGAAGAUGUAUUGGGAAACAAUACAGAAUUAGCAUUUCUAUCCAUAUCCAAUAAUUCAUUCUCAGGCACAAUUCCUAGUUCAAUUGGGACGUUUUCUAACAUGGAAGUCCUUAUCAUGUCUGAAAAUCUAUUAGAAGGUGAGAUCCCUAUUGAGUUUUCCAACAUGUUCAGUCUUGAAAUGUUGGAUCUUUCUUCAAAACAAGUUAAAUGGAUCAAUCCCACCUUUAAGUAGUUUGACUUCUCUAAAGUUCUUGUAUUUGCAAAAGAAUGAUCUCUCUGGAUCUAUACCAAUUGAACUGUCUGAAAGCUCAAAACUACAACUUCUGGAUUUGAGGGAGAACAAAUUUUCAGGUAAAAUUCCCAAUUGGAUUGAUAAUCUCUCAGAGUUGCGUGUUCUUUUACUAGGAUGGAAUAACUUGGAAGGAGAUAUUCCAAUUCAAUUGUGUCGAUUAAAAAAGAUCAACAUGAUGGACCUAUCGCGGAACAUGUUCAAUGCUUCAAUACCAUCUUGCUUCCAAAAUUUGACAUUUGGUAUAGGACAGUACAAUGAUGGACCUAUUUUUGUAAUCUCAAUAAGUCUGACACAAGAUAUUCCAAAUGGUGCACCUCCUUUUAUUUGAAUUAUCUCAUGGCGAACUACACUUGGAAGUGGAGUUCAGAACAAAGCACAAUGAUUACUUUUACAAAGGUAAAGUCCUAGAGAAAAUGACUGGAUUGGAUUUAUCAUGCAACAAGCUAACAGGUACUAUCCCUUCUCAAAUUGGGCACCUGCAACAAGUUUUAGCCUUGAACCUAUCACAUAAUCACUUGUCGGGUCCUAUUCCAAUUACGUUUUCAAAUCUUACCGAAAUAGAGAGCCUUGACUUAUCAUACAAUAACUUGAGUGGUAAGAUACCUUAUGAGCUAACCCAGUUGACCUUUUUAUCAACCUUCAACGUGUCAUACAACAACCUUUCUGGAACACCACCUAGUACAGGACAGUUUGCAACCUUCGUUGAGGACAGCUACAGAGGUAAUCCCGGUCUUUGUGGAUCACUCCUCGACCGAAAGUGUGAAGGUGUCAAGUCUUCACCAUCAUCACAAUCCAAUGACAAUGAAGAAGAGGAAACAAAUGUGGACAUGAUAACAUUUUAUUGGAGGUUUCUACAGCAUCUUACAUAACAAUAUUGUUGGCCUUCGUAACAGUGUUGUGUAUCAAUGCUCGUUGGCGUAUGGCUUGGUUUUAUUACAUUAGUAAGUUUGCACGAUUUUUUUUUCCAACUUUUCCAUUGUACUGAAGAGUGUACGUAGUACCUGUUGAAACUUUACGUGGAGUCUCAAAUAUUUGGAUAUUGUAAUUUUUAUAUUUAUCGUUAAUUUCAGACAGUUUGAUGCUGGACAUGAUUUUAAGCUCUUUUUAUUUUUUCAUUGUUUUUUGUGUGAUGUACUUGUCUGCAGUUGUUUGAUUUGAAGCUAUUGAAUACAUUAUUAUGUUUUUUUCUUUCUUCAUAUUAAUGCUUAUCUAAUUACUCUGUUGUCAGACUCUAAUAGCAAUCAGAAGAAGAAUUGUUGUUGUUUUUUUUAUCUUCAUAUUAAUGCAUAAUCAAUUAGCUAACUGUAUACAUUUGUCAUAGAAUAUCAAAAUUAUGCAGACUCAGAAAUAUUGAAGACUUCAUUAUGAACUUAAUAUCAUGUUAAUAGUCUCAUUGAAAUGUGGUUGUACUUGUACACUUGUACUAGUUAAUUAUGUUAUCAAUUAUCUUAGUACUGGACCUCGACUAAGUAUGAGAAUGAUGUUAGUUUAUUGUAACACGUAUUAUUAUCAAAUCUCUUAUUAUUUGUGGUUUCUUUCAUCCUUUUGUAUUGAAACCAUGUUGUUGAAUCCAAUAGCAGCGAUUUCCGAUUAAGUUGCAUACAACUUCUGUUACCAUCUUUGUCGUCAUAUCAUAUCCAAGAGUUCCUCAAAUAGCUCUGAGACCUGUUUCAAAGAUCCAUCAAAUGACGUUCUGCAGCCAUUGACCCGGCAGCAGCCAUUGAUUCUGUGACAGGCCCUAUGCUAGAGUAUUAUUGAAAAGAUGAAAAGAAAACGAGCAAAAACUGUUUUUUACUCGAGAGCAUGCUCUGUCGAUGGAAUCAUUCCCUUCUAGAGAGCCUUGUGUACAAUACUAACUCCAAUGCCAUUAAUAUUUGCCUUUAGUUUUCUUUUGUCAUUAAUUAAUUCUUCAACCACCAAAUCGGGUCAUGUCUUUAUAAGUCAAUCUCAAAUUAGUCUCUAACUCUAUUAAUAUUUCAAAUUAGUCUCUGUCUUUCUCAAAAGUUUCUAAACCACAUUCCUCGACAUGUGACAAAAACAUAAAGACAAGGACCUAAUUAACAAACUUUUAACAAAGUGCUUUUGUAAGUAAUUCAUUAUGAGACCCUAUGUUUUACGGUUUCUUUCAUAAUGUUAUUGUUUUUCAUUGAAAGGUUUAGCUCUCAUAUUUAACACUUUUGUUGUUUUUUGUUAAAGUAACUUCUUAUAUUUUUCUAAUACCUCGAAUGUCAAUGUAUCUUACUAAUUUGUUUAUAUCCAUGAGAUUACAAUUAGUUGUUGAACCUUGUUUAAGCGUUUUCGUGAGAUCUGUCUGAUUUAAUGAACAGAAUGGCUUUUCCAGGUCGCAUUGAGCAUGGUAUGAGAGGAAGGUUUUGCAUCUUUCUACUAUGGCCUUUGGCCGUCACUUAUUGGAAUAGCUUCAUAUAUUCCAGUUAACUUUUGUGUUUUUGACUUGCGAUCGAGUUUGAGUAAUUGUUUUUGACUAACAUUGAAAUUAAAACAUCAUAACCAUACCAGAGAAGUCGUCACCACCAUGCUUUAAAAAUUCAGCAUCACUUGCAACACAAUGAUGGGAAAUAUUUGAAGCUCAAAUGCUUCAGUGUUCACAUAUAACUGCCAUAUUAAUAUUAUGGUCGAUGCAGGUAAUGGGAAACACAUGAAUCAAAAUUGGCAAAUGAUCAUAUACUUGUUUUUUCAUUGGAAGAUCUUUCUUAUGAUCUGAAUGGCAACUUUACCCAUUCUAGCUAUGGGUAAUCAACGGUGCAAGGCUGCCCCUGAUUGUCUUUCAAAUUCAAACGAGAAUGAAAUGUAGAAAGAGUUUUCAUUUUUAUACAAAAGAGCUUAUUACGCAGUUGCUUGGUUGGAAUUAUUCACAAAUAAUAUAAAAUUUGUUUUGUCAUUCUACUUAUACUAGUUAUUUUGCAAAAACAUAUUAAGAAAUGUAAUUAAUAUUGUAUAUGAAAGAGAUAUUAUCAGUAGUUUUACACAUUUGUCUUAAAAUGAUUGAAAUUAAUAAAUAGGUAAGAGUAUAAUAGGAAAAUUAACAUUAAUGUUACCGUAAAACAACUUAUAAUUUGGGACUAACUUUUUUUUUUUUUCUUUUUUUUUUUUCAAAAUUAUAAUUUGAGAUGGAGAGAGUAUUAAUUAAACUAGUAAUGUUAACAUACGUACGUAUAUUUAGUCUUGCAAGCAGCAAGAUAACAUUAGCAUCUUUGUCAAAUGUCAUAUUCUCUAGUCAACUCCAAGUCUUUCUUGUGCUUCAAGGAAGUUUCUUGGAAUUGAAAAGUCCCAUCUUUGUGUAUACAUGAAUUUGGGGCAAGACUGAAAAGUCCCAACAUAAUGAUUCUUGCCGGAAAGAAAGACACUUACAAAACUAAAUGAUAUGUUAUCAUAAUUUUCCGGUAACAUUUUCCACUUCCUAUUAGUUUAAUUUAUAUGCACAGCCAAUUUAAAGAUUUUUUACACUUGCAAUUGUCAUAUCAUUGAAAUCAUUUAACUUCAAUGAUAACUACUUCUAAAGUUGUACAUAUAAUUAAUUGUGAUUUGUUAAUAAUAUAAUUUUUUUUUUUUUUAAAUUGACGGUGUAUAUCAAAAUUAACUAUGGCUACAUCAAGGUUUGUUAUAUCAUAGUUUAAAAAGUGAAUACUUUUUCCUCUCCUCACUGAUUCCUUAUAUUUUUCAAUGUAGGCAGGAACCGAAAGUUUUCAGUUUGAUGAGAACAUAGAACAGGAAUGGAAAAUUCAAAUACAAAAUUUAGGCAAUGGCUAAAACAGCAUUUUAAGUAUAAUAGAUGGAAAAAAAAACUUAUAAUAGAAGGAAAAAAUUAAGAUUUAUUGAUACUGGAAAAAAUUAAGAUUUAUUGAUAUUGCAAAAUGAUAUAUAAAUUGGGAGAAAAAAAAAAAGUAAAUGGGAGAAUUUUACUUCUUAUAACUUUAAACUUAUUUGACGCUGGUUAAACUAUUUUUAAUGACCGAUGUUAGUAUACUUAAUUAUUACUUACUAUCCUAUUUGUUUGAGGGAGAAGUUGAGCAAAUGACCUCUUUACCACUCAAAUACUUACAUCCUUCCGUUAAACUACCAAACAAAGACCCCUAUAUGGUUACUAUAUUGAAAGCAACAACUAACUACUAAUGUUCACAUACAUAUUUAAUAUCAUGCAAGAUAAGUUUAGCAUCUUUCUCAAAUGUCAUCAUCUCUAGUCAACUCCAAGUCUUUCUUGUGCUUGGUGGAAGUUUCUUGUAAUAGAUAAUAUCCCAUAAUUUUAGUGUAUAUAAUGUAUAUGAGGUGAUUAUAGGAUUCGGACCAAAACUGCACACAAUACCCAUACAUUUCUCAAAAAUGAAGUUGGGUUUGAUAAUUAGUUCCCUUUUAUAUUUUGUGAUUUUAAUGUUAAUUCAAAAUCAAGGAUGUAACGGAUGCUUAGAGAAAGAGAGAAUAGGGUUGUUGGAGAUCAAGCACUACAUCUUGUCACAAGACGAAGGAUAUUCUUACCAUAGCACAGAAGAGUAUUCUUAUAAUAUCAAAGAAUUGGGUUCAUGGGUUGAUGAUAGAGAUAGCAAUUGUUGUUCUUGGAAAAGAGUCAAGUGCUCUAACACCUCUUCUGGUCACAUAACUGAAUUAUCCCUUUACUUGUUACUAUUUGAGACCCCUGAUUCUAAGAUGUUAAAUGUUUCAUUGUUCCGUCCAUUUGAAGAGCUACGCCUCCUUGACUUGUCCUA
rnacentral:lncRNA from 1 species